rnacentral:tRNA from 1 species
GCGGAAGUGGCUCAGUUGGUAGAGCAUCUCCUUGCCAAGGAGAAGGUCGCGGGUUCGAGUCCCGUCUUCCGCU